AAAGGAAAGAAAUAAGAAUUUUUAUACCAAUCAUUUUAUUUUGAUUGUUUGGGGGAAAAAAAUCCACCCUGAAUGAGUCAUCCAACAUUAUUUUUGAGUACCACCACGACAGCAAGCAAGAGUCAACAAGUAUUUUGUCACAAACCGGUUGUGGAAAACAUAGGUUAUUUUCCUUCAUAAGAACAGAGGCAAGAAAAAUUUGGGUUGGACAUAAAAAACCUUUCUAAAGAUAAGGCUAGUGAAGUACUGGAAUGUAUUGCCUAGGGAAGUUGUAGAAUAUCCACCAGAAACAGUCUGGCAAAUCUUGCAGAAAUAGGCUAUGCAAAUAUUCACCAAGCACAUGGAUAUGGCUUAUCUCCCUUGGGAGGAGUCUGAAAGCUUUGAUGAUUUCCAGAACCUUUUUCAAGCCUUUUUUUCCCCUGAAUCUCCACACAGUCCUACAGGCUUUAUAUGGAGCCUUCACAGACAGGGCAGAGGCUGCUGUAAGGGGCUUUUUUGGGCAUCUGAAGUGCUCAUGGACAAACCUGGAGAAGCCGGAAGCACCCUUCUUCUGGCUGGUCCUUUGCCAGUGACCACCUGUAAGUGUGUGCUGGAAGAGAAACCUAACAAAUGGAGCUGGUACCUGGAAGAAUCUACCUAUGUGACUGUCAAGCUCAUGACUUUGAAACCAAGGAAACAGAAAAAAUGAGGACAGAGACAACGAAUAAACAUUGCCUGAACAUGGCAGUCAAAGAAGAAUAUGUAAAUUGUGCCAAUUCUCUUUGUACAUUGACAGAAAAUCCCAGGUAUUGCAGCCAGGAGAAUAAAAGAGAAAGGAAGGGAAGGGAAGGGAGGGAAGAAGGAAAGGAAAGGAAAGGAAAAGGAAAGGAAAGGAAAAGGAAAGGAAAAGGAAAAGGAAAAGGAAAAGGAAAAGAGAAAAAGGAAAAAGGAAUCAACCCACAACCUGAUUUCUUGAUCUGUUCAGUGAGUCCUCCUUCUCUAUAAACCUUUUAAUAUAUCAGUAAAUAAGACACAUACAAAACCAAGUGUGGGAGAUGCCAAACUUCAAGCUUGUAUAGUGCAAUAAAGAACUAGGCUGAGACUAAUAAAAAUAUUUU
rnacentral:lncRNA from 1 species